UACGAAGGGGGGCUAGCGUUGCUCGGAUUUACUGGGCGUAAAGGGCGCGUAGGCGGACAGUUAAGUUGGGGGUGAAAGCCCGGGGCUCAACCUCGGAAUUGCCUUCAAUACUGGCUGUCUUGAGUGUGAGAGAGGUGUGUGGAACUCCGAGUGUAGAGGUGAAAUUCGUAGAUAGUUCGGAAGAACACCAGUGGCGAAGGCGACACACUGGCUCACUACUGACGCUGAGGCGCGAAAGCGUGGGGAGCAAACAGG
rnacentral:rRNA from 1 species